rnacentral:misc_RNA from 1 species
GGGAAAUGCUAGGAUGCUGAUGUGGUGAUGGUAAAGAAAGUCUGAAGUGCCAUUAAUAGUAAUUUGGAUAUUGGAGAGAAGAAUUACAGGGACCAGACCAGAGGCAGAGAAAAUGACCAGAGAGUAGAAAGAGAAAGCAUAGAGCGGAGGAAACUUAAAGAGUGACUGGAAAGAAGAGAGAGAGAGACAUCACCCUGCAAUAUUAUGAGUCUGAGAAAGCUGUUUUAGGGAUUCGGAAAAUUUCUGGGCAAGUCUAAGAGAUAGAAAUCACAGCACCAACAGCAACAACAACAAAAAAGACGCUGCUCUCUGAAAAGUGUUGCCAAGAAAAACAGCGGUUUUUCUGUGACUCUUUCAGGGCAAAAGCACAAGCGGUUUUGUAACUGAAACAGACCCAAACAAGAUGAUAAAAACUCACCCACUCUACUCCUAAUUAUCAAUUCAAUGCUCUCAUAACCGUCGCCUCUGUCUUACCUCUUUCUCGUUCUCUCUGUCUCCCUCUCUCUUUUUCUUUCUCCAUUAAUGGGGUAGCCUUUACUGCUUCGAGACCUUUCCUUGUUCUUCUUGUUGUUAUUGCUUUUGUUCACACUCUUCUAGGAUUCUAUUCUUUUCUCUCUUAUGGCUCAUGUUGAGAGUAAUCUCAGGGGUGCUUCGAUUUCUCAUGGUGAUAGAGGUGAGGAUGGGCAAAAAUGGCUGUAUCUCUUCUUUUUAUAAAGACUCUGUUUUGGUGUCGGUCUAAUGAAGGAAAAUAGAUGGGUUUUUAAGCUCUGUUUAGAUGCCUUCAAAGGAGAAGGAAGAUAGGAAAAUGGAAUUUUGAAACCUACUUUUCUGUCGAUUGUGGUCUGCAGUAUCUGCCUUCAGUUGCUUGUGUAUGGUCUUGUGGAGAGGAGGUUUCUGCUUUCCCAGGGGCUAAUAGUUUACCAACUCUAUUGCUUACAAGUAGCAGCGUCCCCUAUUUUCUCCCGGGUUUUCUCGGCAACCAAACAGAGUUUAAAAGCAUUUUAUUUCCUUCUUUCACCCUCUAUAUUAGUCUUCUUUCUUGUGUUUUGAUUUUGUUUGAGCUUGGUGAGUGUAGGAGGAGAUGAUCUAUAUACGGAGCUAUGGAAGGCAUGUGCAGGUCCAUUGGUGGAGGUCCCACGGCCUGGAGAGAGAGUUUUCUAUUUCCCUCAGGGUCACAUGGAACAAUUGGAAGCAUCAACAAAUCAGGAACUGACUCAACAAAUCCCGCGGUUUAAUCUUCCUUCUAAGAUCCUUUGCCGAGUGGUUAACAUUCAACUACUGGCAGAACAAGAGACAGAUGAUGUUUAUGCUCAGAUCACCUUGCACCCAGAACCAGAUCAAGCAGAGCCUACAAGUCCCGAUUCAUGCCCGCCUGAACCCCAAAAGCCAACGGUUCAUUCAUUUUGCAAAAUUCUAACAGCUUCUGAUACUAGCACCCAUGGA